GGUCAGGUGGUGUAGGGGUUAGCACGUGUGGUUCUGACAAAUUGGAUUCCACUCGACCUGGGUUCGAUUCCCAGCCCGACCU